UUCGUUUUUAUUUUUAUUUUUUUCUCCCUUUCAGAUAAGAGGGCCUGGUAAUAUCUUUUUGGAGAUCAUAUCAUAUCAGAAGCGAGCAUGAGAUACCUAUCAAAUAGUCCGCAUCUUUAUGUACUCACAAGAACACUUUUCUUUCGCCAGCUCUCUUGCUUUGGCAUUUUGUGUGGUUUAGUUCUUCAACAUUAUAAUCCAGAAUUACCCCUUUCUUUGGCCUGUUAUUACAUCCAUGUGCUUGUGUUUUUUAUACUAUUUCUUAACGUCUUAUUAUUAGUUACUGCAGAAAUCUGCUUUAUUAUUUGAUUGCAUUGGGCGGUUUUCCUAUCUGCCAGAUAUGCAUCUAUCUUUCUUUCUUAUGUCAUUCUGAUUGUACAGGGUCGGUUGUGAAAAUGAUCACCCUUGUUAAUUGCCAUCUUUCAUUCUGAUUGCACUGAGUGGGUUUCAAAAACUUGUCACCCUUCCUUUCUGCCAUAUACUCAAUAUUCAUCUCUCAAUUCUUUCAUAAUUCCUGCUUUUCCCUGAUUUAGUUUUGAAACUUGCUUGUAGGCUAACAGAGGCCUCGGACUUACUGCUAUCAUUAUUGAUCACUGUAAACUGGUACUCAAGUUCCCUCAAGGAACUAAUAGCACCUGGGUUCGUGUCUCUUCUUCACUAACAUCUUCACAUCUACAUUUUUACAAUAUUGGCUGAACCUUGAAACACCCCACCCCCCCCCAACCCAAAAAAAAAUGAAAAACAGAAAUUCUUCAUCACAAUUGCAUUACAUUUUCUUUGCAGUAUAAUGAACAAUUUAAGAUCUUUGAACCCUUGGAGUAUACUUAUGACACCUGUGAAGCCCUUCUUCUGUGGGAACAGGUUUCUACUGACCUAUUCACUCUUUAUUCUUUAGGCUAGCCACUUCAACAAUCACAAACUGAACUAACUAUCUGAAAUGCAGUAUCGGAAUAUGACUACUGUGUUAACAAGAGAAUACCUGGAUGCUCGUCCUGAUGGCUGGUUAGACUAUGCAGCUAAAAGAAUAGCACAGCUGUAUGUUCUUUUCAACACAAUUUGCAGUUUCUUUUUUUCCUUUCUGUAUAUGAUGACCUCAAAACUUUAAAUAUUCCUUUUCCUGGUCUUGUUUUGUUAACUGCCUUUUGCCGCAGAGGUGCAGACAAGUGCUACAAUAGGACUCUCUGCGAGGAGCAUCUUAAUCUACUUUUACCAGCAAAGCCUCCCUUUCACCCUCGUCAGUUUGCAACCUGUGCCGUUGUUGGAAAUUCGGGAGAUCUAUUGAAGACUGAGUUUGGUGAGGAAAUUGAUAGUCAUGAUGCUGUUAUACGAGACAAUGAGGCACCUGUAAAUGAGGUACUUCCAGAUUUCCUUAUAAUUUUUGUUUUUGGGGUUAGCCAGAGGUAUAAAUUGUUAGAUUUUCCUUUUUAACUUAUCAGAGUACAUGCAAUAAGAUUGUGUAGCAGAGGUGAAUCAUCGUAUACCAUGAUUCACCUGGUGAUCCACUGCCUUUCUGGUUUGUCUUUGUAUUCUUGAAUGUAUAGUUUUAACAAUACUGAUGACAAUUGAUGGAGCUGACCUUAGAAAAGUUAAAACUGAGAUGCAUUUCCAUGCUUCUGUAGUGAACUUCACAUAUCAUGAAAUGUCUUAGCUUCUUGUCAAAAUUGAAGUAAGGUUCAGAUUCAUCUAAGGGGUUGCUGCCGAGGGGAACUUUCUUAUGCUUAACUGAGUUACUAAAAAAAAAGACAAAGAUGCCGUCAUGCAUGUUUGGUAGCUUUAAUUAGGUUAAGUGACCAGUAUAGAUAGAGGGAAUUAACCAAUAAUUUUAGGUACUCUUAUCAUGUACGUGUAUUUCUGGGAUUUCUUUUCAGACUUUGUCCUUUUAUACUUUUCCAGAAAUAUGCCAAGUAUGUUGGACUGAAAAGGGAUUUUCGGUUGGUAGUAAGGGGUGCUGCUCGUAAUAUGGUUACAAUCCUAAAUGGAUCAGGUAAAUUUUUUUUUUUUUUGGGUGCCCUGUACAGUUCCUUGACUUGGCACAAUUAUUUUCUUUGUGCUGGUCUCUGCAUGGUGAUGGCUAGGCUGCAUCUAGCUUCAAGUUCUUACAGUUUUUGAUGUAAAACAUUUGGUUCCUCACCUUCUGCCGAAUGCAUAAUUUGUCCUUUCUUUGUCAAUUUUAUUUGUCAAUUUUCUUAGAUUGUUUCUUCUCAGAUCUCUUGAUAUUGUAAUGAGACUAUGCACUGAGUUCUUUUAUGAUGAUCACUCAAGCAAUAAUGACUUGUUUAAAUUUUUGUUGAUAAAAAAAAAAUGUGUUCAAAACCUUUUAACUUCUUUAUUAGUUUCUGUAGAGUGUGGCAUUGAUCUUUCAGUUUUCUCAAGAUCAAAAGGAAGCAGAAUAUUGGCAGUGUCAUGAUAAGCAUCAGUCAUCAGCACUUAAACUUUUUCCUUGGUUCUUUGUUGCAGUUGACGAAGUACUCAUUAUCAAAAGUGUCACUCAUAGAGAUUUCAAUGCAAUGAUAAAGGUACUUUUUAUUAUAGGAUGCCUUGUGAUUAUCUUUUCCCUUCGCUGUUGCAGCCGACCUAGCUCUAAUUAUCAAAAGUCUAACUCAUAGAGAUUUCAAUGCAAUGAUAAGGUACUUUGUUGAAUGCCUUGUGUUUAUCCUUUCAAAGAUAAAGUGCAAUUUAUGAGCUUUGAGAAUAGGAUUUCAGUCCCAAUGAUUAAGAUGAUGAAAUUAUCUACUAAAGGACUUCUUGGAAUAAAUUACAAAUUCAGAACACAGUAUUGAAUUCAAGAAUAAUAUAGAAAUUAACCUGGAUGGCCCUGGUGAGCUCAUUAGAACACUAGGAGAUUAUUAUUUUGGGAUAAAAGUGUGUCACCUCUGUGAUAACAUUUAAUUCUUGUCGAACUAAGAUGGAAACGCUAUUUACAAGGAGGACAAGGCUAUCAUGAUAAAAUCAGGGGACUACUUACUAAGCAUUCCAAUCAGCAUUUAGUUACCGUAUGUACACUAUCUAUUUGUUGUUAGAAAAAAAAAUUUCUUUUGGAGUUGACAUGCAAAGUAAAUGAGCCAGGAUUAUACCUUCACAAUUUUGUUGUAGGGCAUCCCAAAUCCUGUGUAUCUCUUCCAAGGUAUUGUCCUGCGGCGGGGUGCCAAGGGAACUGGAAUGAAAUCAAUAGAAUUGGCACUUUCGAUGUGUGAUGAUGUCGACAUAUAUGGUUUCACUGUAGAUCCUGGCUACACGGAAUGGUCAGUCUUUGCUUAUAUUCUUCAGAGGUCGAAAAAACAUUUAUGGUCAUUUUGUGAAUAUAUGCAGCCACUAAACACCCCCCCCCCCCCCAAAAAAAAAAAAAAAAAAGAGAAAAGGAAAAAAUCCAAUAACUCAAAAAUCACCAUUUUUCAGGACCAGGUACUUUUCUGAGCCCAAGAAAGGGCAUAAUCCACUUCAGGGAAGAGCAUACUAUCAACUCCUAGAGUGUCUUGGUGUAAGUAAUAACUUGCUUGUUUUGAUUUUCCGAGAUUGAUUGUUUUGGGUACAUUCACCAAUACAAUACUAUUCACCGUUCAGGUUAUUAGGAUCCAUUCUCCCAUGAGAUCAAAAAGAAAGCAAAACUGGUCUGAUGUUCCAAGCCGAGAAACAAUACAGAGGGCUCAUAUGGCAGCAUUGCGCUUGAAGAGGAUUUUAUCUGGCCAAGAAGGUGCAUUUGGGCAAUUUGGCAGUUGUAAGGUAUGGGGCGAUGCAGGUAGCUACAGCAGGGGCCCUGUAUCUGGAUCUCCAGACAUGAGUCGUGUAAGGAAAAAUUCAAAUUACAGCAAAUGGGAAGUUAUGCCUUUCAAUAGUUUAAGACAAGAAGCACGGGAUCAUUUUAUGCAGAUGCAUGGGGUCUCUCUGUACAAAAUGGAUGGGAACAAAUUGGAAGAUUUGGUGUGUGUCAGACAUUCUUUGAGUUCUGAUUGAUGAUUGAGAAAAUACACGGGGCUGUCUGAGAGUCAUGCAUCUGUAUGUUUGAAAAGCCUGAUCAUCCUGGUUUUUGGUCAAAUGAUUUAUAUUGGCUCAGGUACUUAUACAAAUG
rnacentral:lncRNA from 1 species